AGGAUAUUUUGGGCAUUUGGUUUUCAAAAUAAAAAAUGAAAGUAUAUAAUUCAACAUAACGGAUUAAAAUGAAUCAUUGUAAAGGAUGCGCCCACGAGGAAGAAGAUAUAGCCGUUUAGAGAGAGAGCGAUUGAUCUUAGCUUGAACGAGAAAAAAAUCGCAAUCUUCCAUGGAUGCAGACUCCGAUUAGUGUAUGUUUAAUGGUUUCUUUGAGAAAAGGUAUAACAAUAAUCUCACCCCAUACGAAAUUGAUCACGAAGCUUCUAGAAAUUAUUCUCAAGCCAGUUCUUGCUUUAAUUCUUUUGAUAUAUAUAUAUUUUUAAUUUCACAAAUUGAUGUUGCGUAUCUUUCUUGUGCAGCAGAGCAGAGACUUAGUUUAGUGUUCUUGGUUCUUCUCAAAGGAAUGCACAUAUUGGCAUAUACAUGCAUAUGCAUACCAUACAUACAUGCAUUCAUAUGCAUACAUGCAUUCAUACAUUCAUAUGCAUACAUACCUAUAUGCACACAUACAUACUUGCAAACCUGUUUAUUUCUGUAGAUUCACACUUACUUUCCAUUCGUCUUUCUUUCUUUGUUAGAUUUUGUUUAGCUUACACUUUUUGAUCCUCUUCUUAUUUACAUGCCUGUCUGCUUCUUUUAUUGUGGCUUGCGUCCUUGACUCUUUGCUUCUUUGUUCCUUAUUUUCUGUUUUGAUUCAUUGCUGAUUGCUCCGUUUAGUUACUUUUUUUCUUCAUUUGUUGUCUACUUUCUUUGCUUCCUGCUCUGGGUGCGUCGUUGCUGUCUUUGUCUCUUCAUUGCUUUCUUGACUCUUUGUUUUCUUCUUUUACUUUUGUCCUUGACUCUUUACUAGUUUCUUGCUUGCUUCCUUUCUUACAUGCUAACUUCUUCUUCACAUACUCAACUUGUUUAACUUCUCUACUUACUUUCCUUAACUUCCUUCCUUACUAACUCUUUAGUUCGCCUUCUCAGUUGUUGUUCCUAUAGUAUCUAAACAUAGUUUCAGGUUACUCUGUGAAUCAUCGUACACACCACAGAUGGCCCUGAGCGUUACUUAAGAAAAAAUCCUUCUCUUCAUCAACAUUGCUGCCACAUAUAACCAUCCCUUAGCUGAAUCAGAUAAGAUUGAGACUCGUGAAUGGUCAUAUUCCAUGAAAAAUAUUGCAUCAAACUUUGGUUCUUGUUGUUGUUUCAGGAGAAUUUUAUGCCAACAACUCAAGACAGGGGCAUAAAUGGACGGAGGAACUUAGCUUCAAACUACACUGAUGCCAAUAAGGGAAGAAGUAGAGCUUUUAAAAGGCAGAGUGGAGCUAAUCACAUAAUAAGAGGUCUUAAAACUGCUUCGCCUGCUCCUAACAAAGCAAUAAAAGACACAGUACCUUGUUCCAUAAAGUAAGCCUUGUGCAGAUUAUGUUGUGCAAAACGAUAUCCAAUAUGCAGUAGAUGGAACUUCUAAGAGCUCACAGCAAGAUCAGUGGUUAUUGCCACUUCUAAUUGCGGUAGCCAGUCAAGGCUGAAAUUGUGAUGAUCCACUCAAAAUACGCUUAUUCAAAAGUCAAGAACAUGUGGCCAAAUGUUCAUGCUCACUGGGGGUGUUUACUCAAAGCAUAUAAGUCUUUGUUUAAUGAGUGUUAUUAACUUAUUAUCGUUAAGUCUUUGGCUAGAAUGCAGACUCAUUGAUUAUACUUGCGCGUUUUAUAGGUACUACAUUGUCCUCUUUGGUGCCUCAACUCUCAAGUAGUCUUGGUAUCUUCUCUCAGCUUCGUUGAGAAAGGAGCUCUCUUUCAACAGACUCCGCCGUCAAAGGCUCAACGACGGCCCUUAGGUGGAUUCUUCGUAGCUGUCCCGAUCUACUUUGGAAUCUCGUUCAGAAACUCUUGCGUUUAAGACAUGUUAGAAGAGAAAAAUGUCUCUUGAGUUGUAACGGUGGUGAACUACAAAGAAGCGAUGAGCUUAAAAGGCUAAGGAGUCCUUGAAAGUAGGUGAUAUAAUUUAUAGACAAUGAUGCGCAGCCGCCUGCCUAGAAAGAAAGCUUUCAUUGCAGUGAAGAAGAGCACAAAUUCGUUUGCAGUUUGGUGUCAUACAAGGAUGCAGCUAUUAUUGUUAUGAAUAAACCUCUUGGUAUGGCUGUUUAAGUAAGUCAUAUAUACUACAUGCUUUCUGAGAAUUGAUCUUGCACAGGGAGGAACUGGGGUCAAAGCCAGUAUUGAUGAACUACAUGUUGCCGCUUGCUUGACUUUUGAUAAAUCAGACUCUCAUCGGCUGGUGCACAGACUUGACAGAGACUGUAGUGGACUUUUGGUGUUGGGAAGAACACAAACGGCUGCAACACUUUUUCAUUGUAUAUUCCUCGAGAAAACAUCUGGUGCAUCCGCAUAUGUAAAACCUCUCCUUAAAGUGGACAGGUUUCAGCAUGCUAUCACUGAAUACCGAGUGAUUGAAUUUUCACCACUUGGUAUGCUUGCUUCAUCGUCCCUCAAUGAACAGGGACUACAUCGAGUGAUGGCUCAAUGAACAGGAACGACACCGUCCUCUUUCCUUUGGUAUCUCAAGGAGUCUUGGUAUCUUCUCAGUCUCAGGUGAUGGUUAUUAGAAGUAUUGGAGUCAAAAUUCCUCCGGAAAUCAGCGCAGAAGAAAGUCGUAUAAUCAUUACAGAUCCUGUCAAGAGAUUGAAUUUAUAACUUAGCUCUUGAGGAGGUGUGUGACGUGUGUCUCGUAUCUUAGCUCGAAAGUUGUGAGCAUAACAGAAGCUCCUGAUGGCCUUAGGUUUAUUUCCUGUGAAGAAAAGCACCAUUGUUCCGUGCAGCUCUUGCAGUACGAAGUUGGAAGACGUAGAGUGUCCCUGUUCAAGCUGCAUAUGGCGUAGAGGUGGAGGUAUAGUAUGAAUCUUUUGAGACUGUUCUGUUUGAAAAAUUCAAGUGGAAGACAGUCCGUAAGAUCCAGAGCAGAUGGUUUGCAUGAAUUACGGAGAGUAUGCGAACCAGAAAGUUAGGAGCUUAGAAGCUGAGUAUCCAACGUUUAUGUACGCCAUGCCUAUGACAAAGACAAAAGUGUUCUUUGAGGAGACAUGUCUAGCCUCAAAAGAUGUCAUCAUGCCCAUUGAUUUGCUAAAAACGAAGCUCAUGUUAAGAGUCGGUGGUUCCUUGCCAAAAGAAUCUCGCCUUUGGUGCUGCAGCUAGCAUGGUACAUCCCGCAACAGGCUAUUCAUUUGUGAGAUCUUUGUCUGAAACUCCAUAAUACGCAUCAGUCAUCGCGGAGGUACUAAAACAUGAUACUUACUUUCUUCACCAAACACAUCAACAGAAUGGUCAGAUACUCCGCCCAGGUGAUGUGUUGGUUCUUCCAAGAAACGUCCACCAAAAAUGAUGAAAAGUGUUAUAUACAUGUACCAUACCGAAUAAGGUAUUACAGUUUUGACCUUGUUUUGAAUCUUGAUAUGACAAUGUAUAUGCCAGAGAGUUGGGAGUGCAAGAAGUACUUGCAUCAUUUAACUAACAAAGCUUCAACAUUCAGGUGAUCGUAAAUACUACUCAAACAAGGGAAGGCAAGACUGUCUACACGUUGACAAAACUAAUACUAUAUCAAGUAUCGUUACGCGAAUCUUUCUGACAAAUUUUAUGCUGCAUGUACGUUUAAGUAUGACAUUUGUUUCGAUAUGGGAAAUAGUAUUCAUCUGAAAAUCUCUUUUAACGCACUACAAGAUAUUCAUUUUUUUUGGUAAUGGGGUUACUACAAGAUUA